UUAUUCCUGGCAGGAAAGAUUUCAUGAUCAUGAAGGUGAAUCUCUCAGAGCAAGGCUCAGCCAUUGCACUCUGGCUGUUCUGACCUUUGGAAAGUGCUGGCCUAGUGGUUAGAGCAGCGCCUUUGUGUUCUGAGA
rnacentral:snRNA from 1 species